CAAUAGCGUAUAUUAAAGUUGUCGCAGUUAGAACGCUCGUAGUCGGAUUUCGGGGCGGGCCGACCGGUCUGCCGAUGGGUAUGCACUGGUCGGCGCGUCCUUCCUUCCGGAGACCGUCCCUACUCUUAACUGAGCGGGGGCGGGAGACGGGACUUUUACUUUGAAAAAAUCAGAGUGUUUCAAGCAGGCAGCUCGCUCUUGCAUGGAUUAGCAUGGGAUAAUGAAAUAGGACUUUGGUGCUAUUUUGUUGGUUUCGAACACCGAAGUAAUGAUGAGAAGGGACAGUCAGGGGCACUCGUAUUCCGCCGAGAGAGGUGAAAUUCUCAGACCAGCGGAAGACGAACCACUGCGAAAGCAUUUGCCAGGGAUGUUUUCACUGA
rnacentral:rRNA from 1 species